rnacentral:tRNA from 1 species
GGUCCGCUAGCUCAACUGGAUAGAGCAACUGCCUUCUAAGCAGUAGGUUCCGUGUUCGAAUCCCGGGCGGAUCA